rnacentral:rRNA from 1 species
AGAGUUAGUGGCGAACGGGUGAGGUAACACGUAAGUAACCUAGCUAUUAGACGAGGAUAACUACUGGAAACGGUAGCUAGGACUGGAUAUGAUAGAAAUAUUUAAAGGAUGCUAGGGCAUCGCUAAUAGAGGGGCUUGCGGCGCAUUAGCUAGUUGGUAGGGUAAAAGCCAACCAAGGCGAUGAUGCGUAGCCGACCUGAGAGGGUGACCGGCCACACUGGGACUGAGACACGGCCCAGACUCCUACGGGAGGCAGCAGUAGGGAAUCUUCGGCAAUGGACGGAAGUCUGACCGAGCAACGCCGCGUGAGUGAAGAAAGUUUUCGGAUUGUAAAGCUCUGUUAUUAGGGAAGAAAGGCUCUAGGAGGAAAUGCUUAGGGAUUGACGGUACCUAAUGAGGAAGCCACGGCUAACUACGUGCCAGCCGCCGC